CCUGGUGGCUCAGAGGUAAAGUGUCCGCCUCCAAUGCGGGAGACCCGGGUUCAAUCCCUGGGUCAGGA
rnacentral:tRNA from 1 species